rnacentral:rRNA from 1 species
UCAGAACGAACGCUGGCGGCGCGUAUUAAGCAUGCAAGUCGAACGGGAACCCGGGGGCGAACCCUGGGGGAGAGUGGCGAACGGGUGAGUAACACGGUAGGUGAUCCUAGUCCCUGGGUGGGGUAUAGCCCAUGGAAACAUGGGGUAAUACCGCAUGAGGUCCUGGAGCUUGAAGGCUUCUGGAUGAAAGGCGCAAUUGGGUUGCCUGGGGAUGAGCCUGCGGCUCAUUAGCUAGUUGGCGGGUAAGGGCCCACCAAGGCGACGAUGGGUAGCCGGCCUGAGAGGGUGUACGGCCACACUGGGACUGAGACACGGCCCAGACUCCUACGGGAGGCAGCAGCUAAGAAUCUUCCGCAAUGGGCGAAAGCCUGACGGAGCGACGCCGCGUGGACGAAGAAGGCCGCAAGGUUGUAAAGUCCUUUUGCAGACGAAGAAUAAGGUCCGGAGUGGAAAGCCGGGUCGAUGACGUUAGUCUGCGAAUAAGCCCCGGCCAAUUACGUGCCAGCCGCCGC